ACUGCUUCCUGCUCCCGUUUACUCCAUCUUGAGUGACUUGGCCACCCUGCUGCCAGCUGAAGGAGGUUGGGGACUCUAUGAGUCACAAGUCCCUCAGGCCCACAGCCGGGACAUCAUCAAGUCUUCUCAGGGAGAUGAAGGCAGCUGGAGAGCCACCCCCGGACCUCGGGCAGACCCUGGAAUGGCUGAGACGGGAGCUGUCCGAGAUGCAGAUCCAAGACCAGCAGCUUCUGCUCACGCUGAGACACCUUCACGGGGUCCUGGAGGAGCUGCGAGCCGAGAGCGCCCGCUGGGAGGAGGCACGGUCCAGCGCAGGGACCAGCCCUGCUAGAGCCCGGGCGGGCUCUGAAGGCCGGGGCUGCCAGCCGGUCUCCCUGCGGGGGCUGGCCCAGCUCCUCCGAGGGGAAGAGAGCAGGCGAAGCUCCCUUCCGUAACUGGGCAGAAAAGGCACCGGCCUUGGGCCCUCCUGCCGCUGGUGUGGGCUUUGGCUGUGAUGGAAGGGAGGGGGCUCUGGAGGGGAGCCCGGGAGCCUGGAGCCUGGGACCAGGUUCUGGGGUCAUCUCUGGCCUUAUCUGCUGUGCUUCUGGAUCCGUCACUCAACUCUGUCUCUGGUCCCUUUUCUGUCACUUAUCAGAGGUUUUUCUGGUUGUUUUGUUUUAAGCAUCAAUAAAGUGCAGGAUGCGGACGUUCUUCAACGUGCAAACGUGCCCCGGCUUCAGGAGGGCAGCAGCGCAGGAACCCCGUCCCUGGGCGUCUCCCACCGACGGUUACGAUGAAGGGAGUCGGUGUGGCCAUGGUGGAAAUGAGACCUAGUGACUUAGAGGCCGAUUUCUGUCUUCCCAGCAAGUUUCCUGUCCCCCUUCACCUGAUAACCACCGGGUCCUGUCGCCAUCUUGGCCACGGAAUGCGUCUGUCACCAGGCCUGGCCAAUUAUAUGAUUCACAUUUGGCCUAACAACGUGAUUGGUUGAAUAGGUGAGCAUGUGACUCCACAGAGCCAAUCACAGUCCUUCCUUGGGAUUACUCUCUGGAAGCUUGGGCUCUCCAUUUGUAAAGCAGAGGCUGUGGGGUGGGGGGGGCCUGGCAGGUAGAGAAGACCAGUCUAUGGUAGGAAAGAAAGAGGCUAAUCACUUGGAAUGGAACCACCGUUUGACCCAGCUCUCCCAUUCCGUGGUCUUUACCCAAAGGACUUAAAAUCAGCAUAGUAUAGUGACGCAGCCACUUCAGUGUUUAUAGAAACUCAAUUCACAAUAGCUAAGCGGUGGAAGCGACCUAGAUGCUCUUCAAUAGAUGAAUGGAUAAAGACACUGUGGUGUAGAUGCACAAUGGAAUAUUACUCAGCAUUAAAAGAGAAUAAAAUUAUGACAUUUGAAGGUAAAU
rnacentral:lncRNA from 1 species